UCCGAAUUGCGGGCUCUUUGGGCCACCUCCCAUCCGUGUCUAUUGUACCCUGUUGCUUCGGCGGGCCCGCCGCUUGUCGGCCGCCGGGGGGGCGCCUCUGCCCCCCGGGCCCGUGCCCGCCGGAGACCCCAACACGAACACUGUCUGAAAGCGUGCAGUCUGAGUUGAUUGAAUGCAAUCAGUUAAAACUUUCAACAAUGGAUCUCUUGGUUCCGGCAUCGAUGAAGAACGCAGCGAAAUGCGAUAACUAAUGUGAAUUGCAGAAUUCAGUGAAUCAUCGAGUCUUUGAACGCACAUUGCGCCCCCUGGUAUUCCGGGGGGCAUGCCUGUCCGAGCGUCAUUGCUGCCCUCAAGCCCGGCUUGUGUGUUGGGUCGCCGUCCCCCUCUCCGGGGGGACGGGCCCGAAAGGCAGCGGCGGCACCGCGUCCGAUCCUCGAGCGUAUGGGGCUUUGUCACAUGCUCUGUAGGAUUGGCCGGCGCCUGCCGACGUUUUCCAACCAUUCUUUCCAGGUUGACCUCGGAUCAGGUAGGGAUACCCGCUGAACUUAAGCAUAUCA
rnacentral:rRNA from 1 species